rnacentral:rRNA from 1 species
UGGGGAAUAUUGGACAAUGGGCGAAAGCCUGAUCCAGCCAUGCCGCGUGUGUGAAGAAGGUCUUCGGAUUGUAAAGCACUUUAAGUUGGGAGGAAGGGCAUUAACCUAAUACGUUAGUGUUUUGACGUUACCGACAGAAUAAGCACCGGCUAACUCUGUGCCAGCAGCCGCGGUAAUACAGAGGGUGCAAGCGUUAAUGGAAUUACUGGGCGUAAAGCGCGCGUAGGUGGUUGGUUAAUGUGGAUGUGAAAUCCCCGGGCUCAACCUGGGAACUGCAUUCAAAACUGACUGAAUAGAGUAUGGUAGAGGGUGGUGGAAUUUCCUGUGUAGCGGUGAAAUGCGUAGAUAUAGGAAGGAACACCAGUGGCGAAGGCGACCACCUGGACUAAUACUGACACUGAGGUGCGAAAGCGUGGGGAGCAAACA